AGACAGAGGGAGGGAGGGAAGGAGGCGGGCAUGGGCGCGGCGCGCAUGCGUCCCCCUACCUCAGCGAGCGCGUGCGCGCGGUGUGUGGUGUGGUGUGUGUGUGUGUGAGAGAGAGGGUCGCCUCGCCCAACAAUAAAAACCCACCGAAACGGCCCCAAAAUUAAUAAAUUAUGACGUAAAAAUGUGUUUUAGUUGUUAUUAGGGGAAGGGGAAAAUGGAGGGGGGGGGGGUUCUGCUGUUUGACUGGGUUGGAGCGCCUCGCCCCGCCCCGCCGCGCCGUGAGGAGGCGGUGGGAAGGCGCUGAGGGCGGCCCGCCGGGGAAGGGGUGAAAGAGGGGGAAAGUAAUAAAUAAUUUAACCGAAAUGAUUUAAAAUAAAUGACCCACAGCCUCUCACACCCACAAGCCUAUCUAUCUUCGUCAUUAAUGGUGCUGCUGCCUGUGGUGGGCUUACUUGGCGCUUCAGAUUCACCGCACGGGAAAGUACCUCUGUGAUCAAGAGGACGUUGUGCGACAAACAUUACCGGGCACUGUAAUGUAACAGCACCAUAGGAGACAUAGGUUUUUUCUUGUCUCACUUCAGGCUGCAUCUGGAAGAGAAGUAUUUUUUUUUCUUCUUUUUUUCCCUCUAACAUUGCAUAUUUCAUGGUUUUGAUGUUCUAAGUAGGAGUGUGGUAUUUCAGUACCUUUUUAUGAGCCCUCAGUGCACGCAGACAAUCUUUUUCCUUUUAGAAACAAACUGAUAUCACAGUUUGAUACUCAGCCUCAGCACAACAUGUUUUUGAGCCUUAAACCUCAUGUUAAUUAGUACAUUGAAGCUCAAAGUCUUCCUGUCAAAUCUUGUUCCUUGCUGUACUGCAUGGCAGUACUUCUACUCAGUUGUCCUAGUCAUGAUCAUUGAUACUUUUGCUACAUUUUAUUAUUUGCACAUCCUGACAGAUUUUCUCAGAACAUGUUGUGUUGUGUUUUUUUGUUUGUUUGUUUGUUUGUUAGUUUGUUUUCUUGACAAUUGGCUUUGGAAAACAUAAAAUUUCUGUGCUGUACUAUUUAAGCAUUGUACAGAACUUAAUAAUUUAAUCAAAGCGUAGUUAUUUUGCUGUUAACUUCUUUAAAUCAAUUUAUUUUGUUUGAGUAUAAUAUACUGGUGCCACUAUAUAUAUUUUAACCCUAGUUAUUCCUAUAUUGUCAAUGAAUUUUCAAAACAACAUGUAUUUGUACUGUGUUUUUCUGUUUCUUAGAUUUCUGGUUUUGGAGCACUUGCCGUCUUCUAACAUAUAAAAUGUUUGUUUGUGACAUGCGUGUGGAAACAUACACACUUCAUCUUGGGUGAUAUAGUGUAUCAGCAACUGAAUUAUUCAAAAGUAACCAUUUUAAGCAAGAGUGAGACCCUUUAGUAUCUCUCUGGAGGCAUUGCACAGCCUCCUGGGCACACCUCGGCCUGCACUAACAGUCAGAAGCUCUUACUUUGGUAAGUCAGUGCCCAACUUUUUGUUCUUUCAGAGCUUCUACAGCGAUGAACCAGAUGAUAUAUUUUUUUCUCCUUGAAUCCUAACAAAGUGCUGUGAUCAUAAGAACUGUAAUGGCUAUAACUUUUUUAGUAUGCAUAGCAUAAGAGAGUCGGGAUAAAAUCAAAUUGCGUGAAAUAAAAACAGUGAAGUAGUACAUCAGACUAUUCAAAUUGCCCUAAUUUCAGUCUUUUCCUGUGGUCAAAUACUUUUCUGCACUUCUUUCUGUGUCUGAGAAAAUACAUAUUCACUGGUGUUCCUUGCUACAGUUUUUUAGCACGUUGCAGGAUUUUACUUUCAGAAAAGCCACCGUGGUUUAACUUGAAGAUGCAUUUUGCCUGCUAAGUUUCGACUGGUAUGCUAACACUUCACAUAUACCUCCCGCAGUAGGUGCUUUAAAAAUAUCCACAGAUAAUGAAAACUUCCCUGGUUCUUCUUAUACCUCCAAGAUGCAACUGUAACUCCUCGAUAACUGUUAGCUUGCAUCUAGCAAAAUGUUUUGCCAAAAGCAGUAUGUUUGAGAGAUCAGGCUCAUCGGUUCAAGACAGAGCACAGUCAAAUACAAUUACACCUGCGCUGGCUUGUUCUCAGAGCAUUGUACUGUGUUUUACACAGUCUCGGGUCAGUACAAAUUUUGAAUUCCGAGUGUUGUGUUUUAAUUUAUUGACAUCUGAAAAUACAUGAGCUAGUCUGAUCAGAUUGAAACUGAUCGGUAAGGAGAAUGUGAAUGGCAGGUCAUGUAUCUGGCAUUAACAAGGAAGGCAUUUGCUACCUAUAUACUCUAAGUGUGUUAUAAAUGGAAAAAAUAUUAAAAAAAAGAUUUUAAAAAGAGGUUAAAUAUGAGUCACAGAGGUGGUGGCAUGUUAUCUCAGCACACAGGAGGCAACAGGGAGUGUACUUUUCAUAUAAUCACAUGGCCGCUGCCCCUUUCUACCUGAAAGAGAUCAGCAGCUGCAAAGGUGUAAGUGGACAUAGGGCUGGGAAAACAGACCAGCCAUGAAAAUAGUCUAUUUUUCCAAAGGAAAUGUUGUUGCAAGCGUCAAAUCACAGUAACAAACUACAAAACAAAUAAAAAAUUUAAGAACAUUUAUUUUAUUUGCUCUGAAGAACUGCUUGUGAUUUUCUGUGUUAUUUUUCAUAUGUCUUUUUCCUCAUCAAGACGCUAUCUGAUAGAUUGUCUUUUAUAGUGUAAAAUAGAUAAUUAACCAGAACCAGUAAUGUUCACCUUUCUGAGGACUAAAUUUUAUGUCCCUGAAGGACCAUGAAAAUACACACUUAACUUCAGUAGCACAGGAAUGAGAACUACAUAAAUACUUUUUGUCUUACUUCAUGGUUCUUUAAUUCCAUAUUGUUGUGCAUAUUUAAGCAUGAGAGACGUGUGUUUUUUUACUUGUCUAUAUUUGUAAUUUAUGCCUUCACAUAAAGACAGUACAGGUUUUCUCCUGAGCCUAUAGGCAUUGAACUACUCAAUUUGUAGACUUACUGAACAGCUACACUAUUUUUUAUUCCACACUAACAGUUGUCUACAUUUUCAGAAGCUGAUUUGUUAGUUAUUAACUUUUUCCAGGAGAAGACACAAAGACUGAGUUUCAAAAGACAAAAAAAUAUGUAUAUAUUUUUCCAUUUUGUGUUUGAAAAUAUUUUGCAUGUAAUAAUUUUCUCUGCUUUGUUAAUUACAGCUCACAUCCAUAAAGGUUCUCAGUAAUGAAUGACCUUGGGUUUAUGCAGCAUAUCUCUGACUGUCAAUAGACAAAAAUUUACACAUCGACAAACAUCUUUGUAUUUUUGCAGCUGUUUAGGUAUCCUUUGGAUGUUUGUAUAGGUGCUUUUACAGGAGCUGGAGAAAGGAAAAAAGUCUGAUAAGAAUGAACAAACAGGAAAAUGUGAUUAUACUCAUAAUACCUACAGAACUUCCUCUCAGACCCAUUAUGUAACCUGUGCAGGAUAAUUCCAGCCGUUGCGUGGGGGACAGUCUUUCAUUUCAAGCUGGGGCAAUUUUUCUUGCUGUUUACCCUGAAACUGUUAAACAAAUAUUUAAUCACAGUAUUGAAGAGUAUAUCUUCUACAUUAAUUUCAAUAGAUUAACUACUCAGUUUGUGACUGCUAGUUGCAGUGACUUAAUAUAAGAUACCUACCUAUGCCUUGUAUUUAAAUUAAGGAUAUUUCUGUCAAAUACAGGUAACAGGUAUUCAUGUAAAUUAAAUUUUAUAUAUCUGUAAGAUCAAUAUAUAUAUAUAUAUAUGGGUAAUAUGUAUUACUCAGCAAGGCUCAUUAUCUGCCUUUAAAAUAGGAAAUUGUAUCCUUGCUUAAUAGAAUAAUUCAAAUGUAAAAAGAGUAUCUGCUUCUAGAUGCAGCUUUAAUAAAGAUAACAAAUAGCUAUAUACUAGUCUUUUCAAAGAGUAUUUAUAUCAUACAGCUAAUAAAAUAACACAGCAGUGGAAAGUAUUUAUCUUUUAGUUCCAAAUUUUCACUUCAAUUUCCAGUUACCAAAAAAUUGUAAUCAGCUCUUUUGACCUGAUAUUUUUAAAAGAAUGUCUUCAUGAACAUUGCUGUUGAAAACUGGAAAAAAAAAAAAAUCGGGAAAGGAAGAAGUUCUAGUUCAUGCAAGAUAUAUGAAUUUAGUCAUUAUAUAGCUAGAUCUAAUUUCAUGGACAUCAGAUCUGCAUAAAGCCAGUAAUUUUUUAAAAAGGGCUGCUCACAUGGUGCUGACAAAAUGUGUGUAUACAUUUACUGACUGUAUUAAAAACAGUAUUUGCAUGUAAGGCAUACGAAAUAUAUUUGCAAAAUGGGUAACGGUGUCUGAGGUCAUAUUUGCACAUCUAAAGUAUCCAUUCUGUAUAUGGAGAUUUCUACUUCCUUAUGGAAUAUGUACUGACAUGAAACAAGUUUCUUAAGUAUUACACUGGGUUAGUUUAGGUGUCCUGUUCAUCUGCCUACAGCUCAGUUCCUGUAGGUUCUCCAUCCCAGGUUACAUUUUUCAGUUGUGAAAUCUUUGUAAAUUAGAAAGAGGAAAAGCUAACAUCCACUGUGCUAAAGGGAACUUUUAGCUAUUUUUGUUGUGGGAUAUAUGGAGGUAGGUAUGCUUAACUCAGACACACUGUAUUAAUCACAGAAGUUACUAAGUGAAAUUCUAUGGCCUGCAUUACAUAGUUGCCCAGCCUGUUAACCUUUCUGACUCUAUAAUUUUUUAAUCCACAAAUACAGUUUUUAAAUAGCCCAUUUGUUAUUGUUUCUGUUCUAGUUACUGCUUAUGAUAGUAUUAACUUGUAUAAAAGCUAUUGGUUUAAGCUAUUUGAAUGUCUAUUAUGGAGUUUGAAAUAAGUUCCACAGUCAGACACUGAAGAACAGGAACAUAAAUAUUCCACCGGUUUACUGUGUAUUCCAGAGUAUAUAUAGCUUAUACUCAUUCCUGAGUAUACAUUGUAUACUGGUAUAUACUUAUUCUAGAGUAUUCCAUAGCCUAUACAAAGUGCAAAGUAUGUAUAAUUCUAAUAGCUCAUUCCAGAGUAGCAUAAAUACAAUGACAAAGCAUUUUCUGUUUCCGAUGGAUUUUAGCCACUGGUGGAUAAAAUGCUAAAAAAGUGUCAAAAAGAUGUUAAUAGCUGUCAUCCCAUUGUUCUGUUUAAGUCAGAGGUAUCUGAGAAUCUAAUAGUAAUAGUGAAAUCACUGGUGAAGCUAAUUACUUUAAAAGGGGCAGAAGUCUAAUAUAUAUAUUCUUCAAUAUGACAUUUUUGAUGAUUAGAAGGAUGGAAUGCUCAAACAGCAUCCGAGGUACCACAUCUGCUACAUAAGCACAAUUAUUUUAGCAGGAGUUAGCAGUUAGUAAUAAAUAAUAUUAAUUAAAUUAGACGUUUAAAUUGUAACUUAUACACACUGAUUAUAUUUAACCAAAGAUUUUGGUAAGAUGUGCUGGUAUUUAGUUAGUUUAUCUGCUGCUUUUGCAGUCUCCUCUGAAUGUCUUUAAAACUUUAAUUGACUAAGUGCAGUUUGCAAGGAUAUCCGUAUCCUUGUAUUCAGCAAUUAUACAUUGAUUUUUCUAUCUGUAUAUAUUUAGAAACGUGAAGGUGAAAACACUUAGAGAAUAUGCCAGUCAGAUUACAUAACAGGAAGACACAAAACUUUAUAUUCUGAAAAUGUUACCAUUGCAAACGGCAGUACAUGCAUAGCAUUUGCAUUGCAACAGGAGCAGAGACUCAGACAGCAAGCAGGGGGAGGCUAAAUGUUAGAAUUCUUAUAUUCCAACUAAUUAGAAUUUGCAGUGUACAAAGUUAGGAGGAGUUUGUAAAACCAGGACCCUCCUUAACACACUGUGGUGGUUUUACUCAUCUGGGCAGCCAAGCUCCACCACAACCGCUCUCUCACUCCCCCUUCUCAAAGGGAAAGGGAAGAAAAUAGGAUGCA